CGGCCGCGUCGACGUGAGUAACACGUGAACAAUCUGUCCCUUCAUUCCGGAUAGCUGACCGAAAGGUCUGGUAAUACGGGCGAGGGUCUUGUCGGGGCAUCUCGACGAGAAGGAAGGCGCAAGCCGUGCAGGGAGGAGUUCGCGGCCUAUCAGGUAGUUGGUGGGGUAACGGCCUACCAAGCCGACGACGGGUAGCUGGUCUGAGAGGAUGGUCAGCCACAUUGGAACUGAGAUACUGUCCAGACUCCUACGGGAGGCUGCAGUCGAGAAUCUUGGGCAAUGCACGAAAGUGUGACCCAGCGACGCCGCGUGAAGGAUGAAGGAGCUAUGCUUCGUAAACUUCUUUUAUGAGUGAAGAAACCCUUUCGGGGGCUUAGACAUUAGCUCAUGAAUAAGCCACGGCUAACUACGUGCCAGCAGCCGCGGUAAUACGUAGGUGGCAAGCGUUGUCCGGAUUUACUGGGCGUAAAGCGUGCGCAGGCGGAACCCGUAAGUAGAAAGUGAAAGGCGAAGCUCAACUUCCGGACUGCUUCCUAUACUCG
rnacentral:rRNA from 1 species